rnacentral:rRNA from 1 species
UGGGGAAUAUUGCGCAAUGGGGGAAACCCUGAUGCAGCGACGCCGCGUGAACGAAGAAGGUAUUCGUAUCGUAAAGUUCUGUCCUAUGGGAAGAUACUGACAGUACCAUAGAAGAAAGCUCCGGCUAAAUACGUGCCAGCAGCCGAGGUAAUACGUAUGGAGCGAGCGCUGUCUGGACUUAUUGGGGGUAAAGGGUACGCAGGCGGUUGAAUAAGUCGUAUGUUAAAGAUGGGGGCUCAACCCCGCAAAGCAUUGGAAACUGAUAAGCUUGAGUAGUGGAGAGGAAAGUGGAAUUCAUAGUGUAGUGGUGAAAUACGUAGAUAUUAGGAGGAAUACCAGUAGCGAAGGCGACUUUCUGGACACAAACUGACGCUGAGGUACGAAAGCGUGGGGAGCAAACAGG